GAUGUGGCCUUGUUGGAGAAAGUGUGUCACUGGGAGUAGGCUUUGAGGUUUCCGGAGCUCAAGUCAGGCCCAGUGGCUUGCUCUUCCUGCUGCCUGCAGAUUC
rnacentral:miRNA from 14 species